rnacentral:rRNA from 1 species
UACGUAGGGUGCGAGCGUUAAUCGGAAUUACUGGGCGUAAAGUGUGCGCAGGCGGCCGCGCAAGUCGAGUGUGAAAGCCCCGAGCUUAACUUGGGAAUUGCGCUCGAAACUACGUGGCUGGAGUGUGGCAGAGGAAGGUGGAAUUCCAGGUGUAGCGGUGAAAUGCGUAGAGAUCUGGAGGAACACCGAUGGCGAAGGCAGCCUUCUGGGCCAACACUGACGCUCAUGCACGAAAGCGUGGGGAGCGAACAGG